rnacentral:tRNA from 1 species
GGAGAGUUGGCUGAGUGGUCGAAAGCACCUCACUGCUAACGAGGCAGGGUUUAAACGCCCUCGUGGGUUCAAAUCCCACACUCUCCG